UCUCCCUUCCCCUGGUACGAAGCGUAUUAAGCUAUCACAAGCACAGCUAGUGGUGAAUCCAUAAUUUUUUUCUUAGGAGGGCUAAUUUGAAAUCAUUUAACAAAAUUAAAUUAUAUAUAUUAUUUUUACGAAAACACAGGCAAACACUCACAAUCACAAAUAAAAUUACAACUUAAACACAAACAUAAACAAUUAAAACAUUAUAAAUUAUCCAACAAUAUAGAAGGAUAUUCUUGGUAUUCCAAUUCAGUUGGUCCUCCAAGAAGACAGAGGAGGAGUGUCCGAAUUCAUCCAAGUGUAAGUAGAAUGUCUAGGUAUACAUCUAUCCCCUUUGACAUUAUCAACAGACGCAUACGAUUCGAGUUCAGACAUAUCUUCAGGAGUCAAUUUCACAGAUAGAGAGCUUUGAUGUUGCUUUUCUGGUUUUCGAUCUUGGUAGUUCCAGGUUUUCUGGUGAAUCCAAGCCAAUGCCAGUUGAGAAGGUGUGCAUCCCUUUCGUUUCGCCAUUUCACUCACUCGUUGGAACACAACCUCAUUCUGUUCUAAAUUCUCUUUUUUAAACCUUGGGAUCUCCUGCAUGUGAAUAUUAUCAGAUUAUUUGUAUGAUAAAUCGGAUUAUUUGUGACGAACGUUGCUCCCUGGUUGUCGCUUAGUAACCUCAUUGAAGUUUGUAUUGAGACUCCUAACUCCGUCAGAAGGGACUUUGUGGUUUCCGGCCCUGUACUCUGCCUCCGUACUUGACCUGGCGACGGUUACCUGUUUUCGAGAGAACCAACUCACCAGAGUUUUGCCAAGAUAAAUUAGUAUUCCAGUUUGGCUUUUCUGGUCGAUUGUGUCCCCUCCCCAAUAUGCGUCACAAUAGCCGGUUAGCUUGAAAUUUGUGACUCUGGACAGGGUAAUCCCCAUCGUCUGUGUGCUCGAUAAGUAUCGCAAUUCCAGAGUCCAUCAAAGUUAUGAUACGAUCGAUCCUCUACAUUGCAUUUAAUAUUGUAUUUAACAUUAAAUUAUUUAUUUUUUGAUUUUCAUCCACGUUUAUUAUUUCUUUCCAUGCAUGUUGAUUUAACAAUUUAUAAUUUGUUUCCAGAUUUGUUAGUAUUUGUAAGGCUAUAUAAAACCACGUUAUUAUGGAAUAAAAAGAAUCAAUCUUGAGUAUUAUAAUUUUUUUCAAUUGUAAGAGAUUCGAGAAGCUCUGGUCUCCCUUCCCCUAGUACGAAGCGUAUCAAUUGGUGCUUUCAAUGAGAGAGAUCCGAGAAACUCUGGUUUCCCUUCCCCUAGUACGAAGCGUAUCAAUUGGUGCUUUCAAUGAGAGAGAUCCGAGAAACUCUGGUUUCCCUUCCCCUGGUACGAAGCGUAUCAAAAGGAAUCACCGUUCUCUCUCUCGCUAUGAUAGGACGAGGUAGCUCUCGUGCUGGUAUAAACAACAUUGACGAGUUUAAGAAGAGCGUCGAUGAAUCAUUCCAACUCCAGGCGGUUGAGAUCGUUACUUCCCGCGAAAAGACGGCAAAGUUCCAAGCAUCUCUCCAAGAACUCCUUUUGCAGGUCAAAGGCAAACAACCGGUGGCUGAUGUAAAGUGUAGUAAACACCCUGAUCAGGAGGUGGAGUUUGAACGCGGUCGGAGUAAACAUCGUGGAGUUCUUAGAUAGAUCCGAGGACAGACUGUCUUUCGAGAGAGAGGGGAUUGAUACGAUCGAUCCUCUACAUUGCAUUUAAUAUUGUAUUUAACAUUAAAUUAUUUAUUUCUUGAUUUCCAUCCACGUUUAUUAUUUCUUUUCAUGCAUGUUGAUUUAACAAUUUAUGAUUUGUUUCCAGAUUUGUUAGUAUUUGUAAGACUAUAUAAAACCACGUUAUUAUGGAAUAAAAAGAAUUAAUCUUGAGUAUUAUAAUUCAUUUCAAUUGUAAGAGAUCCGAAAAGCUCUAGUCUCCCUUCCCCUGGUACGAAACGUAUCAAACCAUCACAAGCACAGCUAGUGGUAAAUUCAGAAUUUUUUUCUUAGGAGGGCUAAUUUGAAAUCAUUUAACAAAAUUAAAUUAUAUAUAUUAUUUUUACGAAAACAGGCAAACACUCACAAUCACAAAUAAAAUUACAACUUAAACACAAACAUAAACAAUUAAAACAUUAUAAAUUAUCCAACAAUAUAGAAGGAUAUUCUUGAUAUUCCAAUUCAGUUGGUCCUCCAAGAAGACAGAGGAGGAGUGUCUGAAUUCAUCCAAGUGUAAGUAGAAUGUCUAGGUAUACAUCUAUCCCCUUUGACAUUAUCAACAGACGCAUAUGAUUCGAGUUCAGACAUAUCUUCAGGGGUCAAUUUCACAGAUAGAGCUUUGAUGUUGCUUUUCAGGUUUUCGAUCUUGGUAGUUCCAGGUAUUGGACAAACAUCGGACCCUUGAUGGUGAAUCCAAGCCAAUGCCAGUUGAGAAGGUGUGCAUCCCUUUCGUUUCGCCAUUUCACUCACUCGUUGGAACAUAACCUCAUUCUGUUCUAAAUUCUCUUUUUUAAACCUUGGGAUCUCCUGCAUGUGAACAUUAUCAGAAGAGUUUUGAAAUAAAAAUAUUUUUGUAUUUAUUUGGAUUCUCUUAACCUAGGGCACACUAACUCUCUAAAACCCAACCCUUAGCUAGGACAUGACAUGACUCCUAUGAUUCUAUUUAUAGUCUACUUCGUAGAUCUAGAACCCUAGCUAGUUCCAGACCAAUAAGGCCAAGUCCGGCGAGUAAGGUUUCAUUAUGUGGAUGGACCAGAUAUUGAGCCUAGGUUUAGUAUUUGGGGUAUCAUCAUAAUUCAUAACGUAUUUACAUUUAGUGUGUAUUAAAAUUCCAGUGAGCUCACCUAAUAUGAGCUCAAUAGUGAGUGCUCAAGUCUGUAUGAAGAUGUGUACAACCAAAACAUUAAAAAACAAUAUAAUUAAAGAACGAUUCAGAUGACUUUACACAAUAUUCGACGGCUCAGAUAGGGUGAGCGUUUUUGAGCUCACCCUAUGCUGAGCUCAUUGGAAAAAAGUUGUGUGUAUAUAUAUAUCUGAUAUGAUAUGUAAACCUUG
rnacentral:lncRNA from 1 species